UGGACUCCUUUGGGGAGAUGG
rnacentral:miRNA from 1 species